GCCCGGCUGGCGGAAUGGCAUACGCAGCAGACUUAAAAUCUGCGUUCUACGGGUUCGAGUCCCGUGCCGGGUACCA
rnacentral:tRNA from 1 species